AUUGAACGCUGGCGGCAGGCCUAACACAUGCAAGUCGAGCGGAUGAAGGGAGCUUGCUCCUGGAUUCAGCGGCGGACGGGUGAGUAAUGCCUAGGAAUCUGCCUGGUAGUGGGGGAUAACGUCCGGAAACGGGCGCUAAUACCGCAUACGUCCUGAGGGAGAAAGUGGGGGAUCUUCGGACCUCACGCUAUCAGAUGAGCCUAGGUCGGAUUAGCUAGUUGGUGGGGUAAAGGCCUACCAAGGCGACGAUCCGUAACUGGUCUGAGAGGAUGAUCAGUCACACUGGAACUGAGACACGGUCCAGACUCCUACGGGAGGCAGCAGUGGGGAAUAUUGGACAAUGGGCGAAAGCCUGAUCCAGCCAUGCCGCGUGUGUGAAGAAGGUCUUCGGAUUGUAAAGCACUUUAAGUUGGGAGGAAGGGCAGUAAGUUAAUACCUUGCUGUUUUGACGUUACCAACAGAAUAAGCACCGGCUAACUUCGUUC
rnacentral:rRNA from 1 species